rnacentral:lncRNA from 1 species
AAACAACAGCGAGUGUGGGGUUUUGUGUGCGUGUGUGCGUGCGUGCGCGCGCCUGUUUUGUGUAUCUGUAUGUGUAUAUGUAUGUGUGUGUGUGGUGGUGGGGGGAGAAAGGGGGCUGCGGUUGUGGGUGUGGGAUGGGGCUGCGGUUGUACUGGGCGGAUAGGUGGGUGGGCUGAUGAAGUGCGAGAAAGGGAAGGAAAGGAGUGCAGGUCGUAUGGAUGAGAGACAGGGUUCUCAUAAUCUGUUGUUUUGGAUGGAAAGAAAGAUAGAGCUGAGUGGGAGGCAGCAUUCAGACUGUGGCGACCUUGUCGCAGAAGUUACGUUGUCGGUUAAUGGACAAACCGACACCGACGUCCGGACGAGUGGCCGUGAUUUGAGAGAACUGCGUUACUGGCCGAGGCAAGCAUAUGUGGAGUAAAUUUUGAUUCUAUGGAUGCAGGCCGCUUGUUCCCAGCGGCAUUUGCAUUUCCUAUGACGUGAAUACGUUUCACGGAGACGGAUUUGCUUUAACUCCUGUAUUUGUAAACUGAUUGUCAGGCUGCUUAACCGGUAGUGCCUAAAGCGACGCUUUCCGUUGUAAAUUGCCCCAAGAAGUAUCUACCGUAUGAAAUGAAGGUUCAUCAGGACUCCCAUCGGUUUGCUUUAUGGGUACAGCACAAUAAAGAC